AUGAACUUGAUCUGUAGGCCUGGAGACUCCUCUUCACGUCCGUCCGGACACCCCCCCCCCGCCCCGCCCCUCACGUCCUUCUCCCAGCCCCUAGCUCUGAGCUGCCUCUGCUGCUGGAGCUUCUACGGCUGGAGGGCACAGCCGCCCCCAGCCUCUGCAGAGCGCUCAACGCCUGGGGCUCCUGGAGCGCGGGAGCCAGGGGCCAGGCGGCCAGCCUGGGGCAGUUCAGGGCAGUUCUGGGGCAGGUCUUCAUCAAACUCCUCCACCCGCAUCACCACACCCACUUUAUUAAUUGGGGGGGGGGUACUGAACACAGGCAGUGCCCAGGGGCAUCUCUGGCUGCGCCUGCCUCUCCCGAGCUAUGCCCGGGGCCUUCCCGCCUCCUCCACGCGCACCUCCGCGCCCCCUGAAGAAGGGGGGAGAAAGAAAUACGCAUUAAUAUCACGAGCCUUCGCGCACCAUCGCGCGCCCCCUCAACCACCUGUCUCUGCGCUCUCCCUCCCCCACUGCCUUCCUCAACUCCGGGCGCCCCCUCUGCAGCAGCGGGGCACCACGCCCACUGCGGAGCCGAGAAACGGAAGACCCUUUAGAGAACUGGAAAAGAGCUGUGAGCCCUCGCUCCAGAAAAGUGCACGUGCACCCAUAAACAUAGCUUCGCGUGGUCAGAGAAUUCUCCUGCUUCUCAAAGCUCCGGGGACCCAGCUGAAGGACACCGUCUCUGCCAGUACCCUAAGCCAGUCCAGCCUGGUGAUCGCCUGUGUGGCUGCCUGUUUGCUCAUGAGGCUUCUUCCUUCAGGCACACCCCUUCUCCCCCAGUCCCACCUUUCUGCCUGUGGAAUAUCUGCUUCUCCUUGAAAGCCGGCUCGAAUACCGCCUCCUCCCUGAUUUCCCCUUCAGGGGUGUCAUCCAUGGCCGUCGUGGGUUUCUGGGAGCAUGUUCUUUGUGCCAUUUAUGUCUGUUAAUACUGUAUAUAUGUGGACCUGUGCUUAUUUUUGUGGUUGUUGUCUUAUUGCUCCUUCUAGAUUAUAAACUCUUUUAAGAUCAGUUUCCUCCUCUACAACUACCAAGGUGCCUUACAAGAUAUGCCCUUGGCAGGUAGCUCUUAAAUAAUCAAAGGGGAGUUCCCUCUCUGGUGCAAUGGGUUAAGGAGCCAGUGUUGUCUCUGCAGGAGCAUGGGUUCGAUCCCCAGACCAGGAACGUCCAUAGGCCACAGGUGCUGCCAAACACAAAUCCAAGAGAAGCGGGGUUGAGGCCCCGGAUGACAGAUGCCUUUGCUCCAGAAGAACCUGAUGCCGCUGGUCCCAGAUGCUUCGCCAUCAACGUGCAUUCCCCACAAGCACACCUUGGCACCUGGCAAGCAGAAUUCUCAAAUUAGUAGGAUCAUUUGAUCUUCUCCUCUGGGCAAGACAGACAUAAGGUAAAGAUCCCUAGAUCAAGUUGGGGUACACGUUCAU
rnacentral:lncRNA from 9 species